CUACUGGCAGGAUCAACCAGGUAACAUCCUCGAGACAUCGGACCGCACGGCACGAGACCGGAACGGAACCGAACGUCGUUUGAGAUCAGCAUUUGAGCUUAACGUGGACAGAUAGGAUCCUUAGACCCCGUGCCCUUCGCGUUUUCCGCAUCCCAGCGCUCGAACGGAACACAUUGGCCACGACAACACCACAGCAGGCAUUAGCCGGGGACAACGGGUGCCGUUGCGAGUUUCACCCUCGACCGCACCGCACUAAGGGGCAGCCUAAGGCGAACAUAUAAAGAUUUGACGUCGAAUUCCAUUCGUAGGUACGCAACACAGGAAACCGAGACAUUGGCCAAUAAAAAUUAUGCCAAAAUGAAGAGGAACGCACGGUUGGACGUCGCCGCACAAGGCCGGGAUCCAACC
rnacentral:misc_RNA from 1 species